rnacentral:rRNA from 1 species
CCUACGGGAGGCAGCAGUGGGGGAUAUUGCACAAUGGGGGAAACCCUGAUGCAGCGACGCCGCGUGGGCGAAGAAGUAUUUCGGUAUGUAAAGCCCUAUCAGCAGGGAAGAAGAAAUGACGGUACCUGAGUAAGAAGCACCGGCUAAAUACGUGCCAGCAGCCGCGGUAAUACGUAUGGUGCAAGCGUUAUCCGGAUUUACUGGGUGUAAAGGGAGCGCAGGCGGCACGGCAAGCCUGAUGUGAAAGCCUGCGGCCCAACCGCGGGACUGCAUUGGGAACUACCGGGCUGGAGUGCCGGAGAGGUAGGGUGAAUUGCUAGUGGAGGGGUGAAAUUCGUAGAUAUUAGGAGGGAAACCAGUGGCGAAGGCGGGCUACUGGACGGUGACUGACGCUGAGGCUCGAAAGCGUGGGGAGCAAACAGGAUUAGAUACCCUAGUAGUC